rnacentral:misc_RNA from 1 species
UGUUCUGGAUCCUAGCCUCUUUCUGGAUAACUCAUUUGUGUCCUUGCUCUAGAGUUGGUGAAUACACAAUUGAUGGUGCUCCUUUCCUUCACAUUUUUUUUUCUUUGACAGCCUUAAUUUAUUCAAUUUUUAGAAUUUUCCUUUCCAUCGCCAUUUUCAUUAAGUUUUGCUUAUUUAUAAAGGUUUUUGGUUUUGGUUAUGGACUCGAGGUAUGCAGAUUUAUAUUUAUUUGUUUCACAGGCAUAUUAGCAUAUAAUGUAUUGGAUAUCAUUUAAUUCUCAAGAUACGAUAAAUAUAAUAGUUUUGUCCCUCUAUUUUUAAUGAGAAACAAG